GAAGGGAUAGAUCAGUGGUAGAGUGCAUGCCUAGCCAGCAUGAGGCCCUGGGUUCAAGUCUCAGUAGCUCCA
rnacentral:tRNA from 1 species